rnacentral:misc_RNA from 1 species
GGAAACCAAAGCUAUACCUCGAUAUCAAACUUGACGUUGGGAUUAGAUGACAAGAGGGUAAAGGGUUCCAAGUAUGGAUCCUCAGUCAGCUCUGUGAAUAAUUUGCAAAACGCGCAGGGCUAUAUGAUUGUAAAGGGCCACUUAGUAGUCAAAGGACUUGGAAGUACCCAACAAGUAUAUAAACAUAACGAUGAUUCGUGCUGCUACUCCAGGAACAUAAGCAGCUCAAAUUA